rnacentral:lncRNA from 1 species
UGAGCCACCGCACCUGGCCUAUAUUAAUUUUUAAACAUGUUAAUUGCUCAUUUAAAAUAGGUUUCAAAAAAAUUAUCAAGGAAAUACAUGUUUAUGGCACAAAACUUGGAAAACUAUUUUAAAAACUAGAAAGAGAAAAAAGAAUCCCAUCCAAAUCUACCAUUCAGAGCAUCGUGGGCAGCCCUCCUAGGCUUGUUUGCUGUACAUCUUGCUGGGAUUUUGUAAGAAGAAUCCCUUCUGAAAACUGCAUGAAAUUCUCUUAGAUCUAGAUACCGGCAUUUACCAGAUGGGUUUCCUAGAUGUUAGACAUCUCAUUCUAGUUUUUCCUUAUAUAGUAGAGGACAUCUUUGUGCGUAUAUGUUUGUCUACACUGUUUUCUUGGCAGUUUCUAAAUGUGGGUCUCCUGGUCAAAAGCGCAGGCAUUGUUAAAGCCCUCGGUACGCAUUUUCCAGUUGCUUUUAAAAGCUGUCUCUCAAUUUACAUUCCAACCUGAAGCACAAGGGAGUGCCUAUUUGACCCCGAUCUCAUGGACGUGAUGACUGUCUUUUAAAAAUACUUACUAAUUAAUGAAUCAUCUUUGAGCACGCCUGGCAACCUGGAGGCUGGUGCAGAGCUCUGGGGUGCUGUGGGCAUCAUAUCAUAUUGGCUUCCUGACCUUGGCAUCCCUUCCAGCUGACUCCAAUAAAGAUCCCAGGGGAAUGAGGGACAGAGGCCCCAAGUAUCGUAACUUAUAGGUUGAAGGCAGUUCUCCCUAAACCCAAAUGGUAUUUGUAUGUGUGUAGUGGGGGGAUUUAAGUAAUUUUAAAGUUUACCUAAAGGAUAAGCUGGAGACAAUUACUGAGAAUUUUUUGAAAAAUGGGAGUGAUGAAACAGAGUUUGCCCUUGCAGAUAAUAAGAUUUAAGUAUUUUAUAAAAAUAGAAAGAGAAGAUAAUAUAGGCCAAAGCUUAUCUGAUUUAAGAAUGAGGGAAAGACUUACCAGACAUAGACUAUAAAGGAGCUACAGAAGAAAAAUAGAAAUAGCAUUUUGAAUUCUAUUUUAAAUUAAAAAAAAGCGUGAGCAAAAUUUGAAGCUAUUUGUUUGCUAAGAACACAUAUUUGCAACAUAUAGAAAAAAUGAUUACUAUCCCUUGUAUAUAUUCCUUCAUUUAACAUUUCUUAAGUGCUUAUAAUGGUUGAUGCACUGUUAUAAAUGCUGGGAAUUCAAAAAAUAUAUUAAAUACUUUUAUAUUUCCAUAAGAAAGAGAUUGAACCUAAUGAAAAAAUAGAUUAAAGUGUAAGCAAUUUACAAAAGGAAAGGUAGAAAUGGCCAAUAAGCAUAUGAAAAAAAUGCUAAGCUCCGUAAUAAUCAUGAGCGUGUCAAUUAGUUCAACAAUGAGACAUGAUUAUUCACUCUAAAAGUUAAAAAAUUUUAGAACGAUUGAACUGAAUUUUGACCAGUUGAAGGGUAAACUGGUUAAAACGUUUUGGACACAAUUUGAUAACAGUUGUUUAAGAUUAUUAAUAUGAUAUAUAAUUUGAUCUAGAAAUUCUAGGACUCUAUCCUAUGCAUUGAAUUAGAGAUGUGGCCAAAUUUUAUGACAAAAAGUGCUUAUCACAGUAUUACUACACACACAUACACACACACACAAAUAGACUCGACCAAGAGCUUUAACAUUUGAGUAAUAGUUUAAUAAAUUAAGGCACACUUAUACAAUGGAAUAGUAUGUAGAUAUUCAAAACUUUUUUCUAAGAAUAUUUAAUGCCUGUUACUAGUUAAAAAUAUGAUAUGAAAUGAUAUAAAUUUUAAAAUAUAUGUGUUCAAAAACAUAUCUUUUAUACAUGUUUUUAUAACGCAAUGUUAUAUAAAAUGUUUUAUAAUGCAAUGCUCAUACACAUAUAUACAUAUAAAGGACCGAACCCGUGUAAAAAAUGUCUGGAAGGAUGCAGAGCAGAUUGUUAACUUUGGGUAGGAGGCUCUUAUUUCAAUUUUUAAUUUUAAAUUAUUAAUAUUUUGUUUUUAAAAUUUUGCUAUGAGGGAGUACUGCUUUUGUAAAUAAGGAGAUAUUUUAGGAAGUUAGUGUGAGAUAAAAAAUAUGAUUAAUAUUAAAUAUACACAAGCACCUAGCAAAACACACAGGAGAAAAUAGCAUUAUGAUGAAUAGGAACUAUAUUUUUAUUCUUAUUUGUAUUUUCUAAAUCUUCUACAACAAAUAAAUGUAGCUUUUAUAGCUGGCAAGUAAACCACAGCUAUCAUUAUAACAUGCGUAACAUAUUGAGAUGACCCUUCUGAUCGUUUUUCCAGGCUCAGGGUGGCCCAAAAUUCAGGAAACAUAGGAUACACUUAUUUUAAAACAUUAUAUUUGUUAUACCUCCAAAUUCUGGGCUCAAUAUGUUUUUCUUUAACUGCUAGACACUUUUUCAGGCGUAGUACCUCUACAUUUGAAGCAAUGGGUCCAAUUGUUAACCUGAACAAAGUACAAUAAAUAAUCACUAUUUAACCCUUGUUUCCCGAAUUUCUGGAUACUCUGAAAUGUGUUUGUUGCACUGGGAGUUGCAGAAAAACAUAUUGCAAUAGUAUUCAAAAAUGUCUUGUGCUGUUUAUCUAAACAUGGUCCAAACAUUUUGGAAAAUAGUUUGGCAGUUUCUUAGGCAAUUAAACAUACACCUACCGUACAACACGAUAAUUGCCCUCCUAGGUAUUUGCCCAAGAGAAGUGAAAGCAUAUGUUGCUACGCAGCUUGUACACAAAAGCUCACGUCAGCACUGCUCGUUAACAGCCCCAAACUGGAAACCACCCUGAUGUCCACUAAUGGAGAAAGAGAUGAAUGGCGAUAUAUGUACAUCUACAUGUGUAUCCGCAUUUCUCUGCAAUACAAAAGGAGCAAACCACUGCUAACACAGUGUGGACUCCCAGACCAUGACUGUGAGGGAAGAAGGCGGAAACGAGUGUGCAGCGUGCAAUUUCAUUUUUAUCGUAUUCUGGAAAUGACAACGUUCUGAGCCACUACUGCUGGGUGUCUGCUCCUGGGGUACCUGCUGGCCCUGAAUCACCCCUCUGGAUUCCUGGGACUCCAGGAACUUUGGGAUCCAGAGAAGCGAGCUCUUCCAUCCCAGGACCCAUGACUGCCCACGCUGUUGAGCUUCUGAGGGCAGGGACCAUGUUUUCUCUCUCAGAGCCAGGGCUGCAUGUUGGAACUGGCCCUGACAGUGUCAGUUAAACUUUCACGAAACAAAUGUUCCUGAACUUGAAGCCAUAGGACAGGACUCUGAAGAUCACAGAAUCACACAGUGAGAAAAUGAUGCCCUUUUCAGCUCUGCACCAGUCCUUCUCAUGACAGAAAGGAGAGUGUCUCGGGUUGGUUCGAGGAUGUCUUUAACCCCUCUCAUCGUUGCCCGUCUCGACACAGAACCAAGAACAGGCGGGUCCUAGACUCAGACUCUAGUGGACGAAUGUGUCCAGCAAAAGUAACAGCAUUACUUUAUUUUACAAUUAUCUUCAACGUAUACCAAGUGAUACUGGUUUUCCAUUUAUAAUGGCAAUGUAGCUUCCCUUGAGUUUGUUUUAAAUUUUAAUUCAAUUUCAGACAUACGGAAAAGUUGCGAGCAUAGUAGAGUUCCUGGAUGCCUUUCACCCAGAUUCCCUUAGUGUUAAUAUUUUCUCCCAAUCUCUCUCUCUGUGUCUCCCCCUACCUUCCCCACCAAACUACCUACCUACCUACCUACCUACACACACACACACACACACACACACACACACACACACUUUUUUUCUGAAUUAUUUAAAAGCAUGCUGUUCUUUCACUGCCAGUCCUGGUAAUGUCCUUUAUGGCAAAAGAAAACCCCAGGCCAUGCCUUGCGUUCAGUUGGGAUCCCUCUUUUUUUUUCCUUUUUUUGCCAUAGAGUUUCAUUCUUGUCACCCAGGCUGGAGUGCAAUGGCGUGGUCUCGGCUCACUGCAACCUCUGCCUCCCGGGUUCAAGCGAUUCUCCUGUCUCAGCCUCCCGAAGUGCUGGGAUUACAGGCACCCACCACCACGCCCGGCUAAUUUUUUGUAUUUUUAGUAGAGAUGGGGUUUCACCAUGUUGGCCAGGCUGGUCUUGAACUCCUGACCUCAGGUGAUCCGCCUGCCUCGGCCUCCCAAAGUGCUGGGAUUACAGGUGUGAGCCACCGCACCAGGCCUCUUUUACCUCUAAAUGUGUCAGUACUCCAGUGUGUAUUUCCUAAAAGCAAGACUAUUUUAUUACAUAAGUAUAGUACACUUUUCAAAAUCAGGGAACUAACACUGAUAUAACCCUGUAGUCACUAGACCUCCUUCCUGUUUCACUGCCUGUCCUUGUAAUGUCCUUUAUGGCAAAAGAAAACGUCAGGUCAUGCCUUGCCUUCACUCGGGAUGCCUCUUUGACUCUUUUCAUCUGAAACAGUUUUUGAGUCUUUGUAUUCUAUGACAUUGGCAUUUUUGAAAAGUACCUGCCAGAUAUUUUUUAAGAUGUCUAAAAAUUCCUUUUUAAAUAAAUUUAAGUUUUAAAUAA